AAGGGACAACAAACGGUGAGCUUGCGGAUUGGAGAGGAGUCCCAGCUUUUGUAAGAGACGCCAACAUAUUUUGUUGGUCAAUUUGUGGAGAAGGAUGUUGGGUAACCUGAGGAGACAGUGCUUGAUGGAGUUGAGGUGAAGAUAUUCCUGGCUUCAAUUGGGGAUGAUGAGAUCCAACACGCUGGCCAACUGACUGUUGCUGUAAAACUCCUGGUUUUAUCCCCAUUUGCUGCCUUAUCUUUAGGUCAUUAGCAUCAGUCAUCUGUUGAAGCUGAGACAUCUGGUGGGUUGGCAACAGCGUGGUCUGCUGUUGCUUCGCUUGCUGCUGUUGUAUUAUCUGCUGUCUUUGAAAAAGUUG
rnacentral:misc_RNA from 1 species